rnacentral:rRNA from 1 species
UACGGUAGGGGGCAAGCGUUGUCCGGAUUUAUUGGGCGUAAAGAGCUCGUAGGCGGUUGGGCAAGUCACGUGUGAAAUCUCCACGCUCAACGUGGAGGCGCCACGUGAGACUGCCCUGACUCGAGUCCGGAUAGGGGAGCGUGGAAGUUCCCGGUGUGAGCGGUGAAAUGCGCAGAUAUGGGAAGAACACCCGUGGCGAAGGCGGUUCUCUGGGA